rnacentral:rRNA from 1 species
GAUGAACGCUGGCGGCGUGCCUAAUACAUGCAAGUCGAGCGAACGGACGAGAAGCUUGCUUCUCUGAUGUUAGCGGCGGACGGGUGAGUAACACGUGGAUAACCUACCUAUAAGACUGGGAUAACUUCGGGAAACCGGAGCUAAUACCGGAUAAUAUUUUGAACCGCAUGAUUCAAAAGUGAAAGACGGUCUUGCUGUCACUUAUAGAUGGAUCCGCGCUGCAUUAGCUAGUUGGUAAGGUAACGGCUUACCAAGGCAACGAUGCAUAGCCGACCUGAGAGGGUGAUCGCACACACUGGAACUGAGACACGGUCCAGACUCCUACGGGAGGCAGCAGUAGGGAAUCUUCCGCAAUGGGCGAAAGCCUGACGGAGCAACGCCGCGUGAGUGAUGAAGGUCUUCGGAUCGUAAAACUCUGUUAUUAGGGAAGAACAUAUGUGUAAGUAACUGUGCACAUCUUGACGGUACCUAAUCAGAAAGCCACGGCUAACUACGUG